UCAAGGCUUUCUUUUCCGCCUGGUCACCGACGUAAGAAGCCGAUGCAGACACCACCAGCCAGGCGGCCCGUGUGGCUUGGGCGGCAGCGCCCGGGGGCCGGUCGCCGGGCUAUUCAAGGUGCAACAGGGCCUAUGAGUUGAAGAUGAAUGAAGGUUGUCAUGAUGUAUGUUUUCCAAGAAUUUAACACAGGAUGACUGAACUGCUAGGAACUCAACUGCCUGUAACAAGGUAGCUGCAGAUGAAUGUUCAAGUCCUUAGCUGUGGUUUAAAGUCAUUGCUUCAGGAGGUGGCAUGUAACAUUUGGAA